ACCGGCGCACGGGUGCGUAACGCGUAUGCACCUACCUUCUACAGGGGGAUAGUCAAUAGAAAUGUUGAAUAAUACCCCAUACGAUAGCAUUAUGAAAGCUCCGGCGGUAGAAGAUGGGCAUGCGUCCUAUUAGUUAGUUGGUAAGGUAACGGCUUACCAAGACUUCGAUAGGUAGGGGUCCUGAGAGGGAGACCCCCCACACUGGUACUGAGACACGGACCAGACUCCUACGGGAGGCAGCAGUGAGGAANNNNNNNCAAUGGAGGCAACUCUGAUCCAGCCAUGCCGCGUGCAGGAAGACUGCCUAUGGGCUGUAAACUGCUUUUAUACAGGAAGAAAUAUACCUACGUGUAGGUAUUUGACGGUACUGUACGAAUAGGGAUCGGCUAACUCCGUGCCAGCAGCCGCGGUAAUACGGAGGAUCCAAGCGUUAUCCGGAAUCAUUGGGUUUAAAGGGUCCGUAGGCGGUCUUUUAAGUCAGAGGUGAAAUCCUACAGCUCAACUGUAGAAUUGCCUUUGAUACUGAAAGACUUGAGUUAUUGUGAAGUAGUUAGAAUGUGUGGUGUAGCGGUGAAAUGCAUAGAGAUCACACAGAAUACCGAUUGCGAAGGCAGAUUACUAACAAUAUACUGACGCUGAGGGACGAAAGCGUGGGUAGCGAACAGGAUUAGAUACCCUGGUAGUCCACGCCGA
rnacentral:rRNA from 1 species